UAGUCCACGCUGUAAACGAUGAGAACUAGCCGUUGGGAGACUUGAUCUUUCGGUGGCGCAGCUAACGCAUUAAGUUCUCCGCCUGGGGAGUACGGCCGCAAGGUUAAACUCAAAUGAAUUGACGGGGGCCCGCACAAGCGGUGGAGCAUGUGGUUUAAUUCGAUGCAACGCGAAGAACCUUACCUGGUCUUGACAUCCUGCGAACUUUCUAGAGAUAGAUUGGUGCCUUCGGGGAGCGCAGAGACAGGUGCUGCAUGGCUGUCGUCAGCUCGUGUUGUGAAAUGUUGGGUUAAGUCCCGUAACGAGCGCAACCCCUGUCCUUAUUUGCCAGCAUUUAGUUGGGGACUAUAAGGAGACUGCCGGUGACAAACCGGAGGAAGGUGGGGACGACGUCAAGUCAUCAUGGCCCUUACGACCAGGGCUACACACGUGCUACAAUGGUGCAUACAGAGGGUUGCGAAGCCGCGAGGUGGAGCUAAUCUCNGAAAAUGCAUCGUAGUCCGG
rnacentral:rRNA from 1 species